rnacentral:ncRNA from 1 species
UUUAAUUUUUUUAUAAGGUUAUUUUCAUAUGUAUAUAUAUUAUGUACUAUAAUUUAUGAAUUUAUUGGUAAAGUUUUAUUCUUGCUUUCAUAUUUAUUAUCUGGUUAGUUUACAUGAAAAUUUUUGUGAGGAUUUUUAUUAUUCUUAAAGAUUAAUAGGAAGUUAAUCUCAGUAUUUGGUAUUAGUAAAUCAAAGUAAUUUGGAAUUAGUAAUUCAGUAUAUGAUUGGCUAAAAUCGUGCCAGCCGCCGCGGUUAGACUUAGAAUUUAAAUAAAUAUUUUUGGUUUGGAAGUUAAUUAUUUCUUAAAAUGUUUAAUUUUUUUACAAAGGUGGAAUUUUGAGAAGAAACAGCAUUUGAUAAAUAAUAAUGAAGCUUUGAAAUUCAAAAUUUAAACUAGGAUUAGAUACCCUAUUAUUUUGAUUAUAAAAAUAGAUACAUGAGUAGUAAGAGUUAAGUUCUUGAAACUCAAAGAAUUUGGCGGUGUUUUAGUCUUUUCAGAGGAAUCUGUCCUGUAAUAGAUAAUACACGUUAAAUUUAACUUAAUUUUGUAAUAUACAGUUUGUAUACCGCCGUCAUAAGAUUAUCUUUUUAGAGAAAGAAUUUUCUGGAUUUCUGGAAGAUGAGAAAACAUGAUUUAUAAAUCAUGGAUAGAGGAUUAGAUGUCAGGUCAAGGUGCAGCUUAUAAUUAAGUAAGAGAUGGAUUACAAUAGAAUUAAUUUAUAUGGAUAAUAUAUUGGAAUAUAUGUUUGAAGGUGGAUUUGAAAGUAAUAUGAUUAAAUUAUGAUAAUAUGAUUAUAGCUCUAAAACAUGUACACAUCGCCCGUCGCUCUCAUUAUAAGGUGAGAUAAGUCGUAACAAAGUAGAUGUACUGGAAAGUGUAUCUAGAUUGAA